AACUUUAGUAAUUUCUUUUAAUCUUUUUGGCAAAUUUCCAAGAGGGAAGACUAUUGUUUGAGAGAUCACAAACGGUGCCUUUGCACUUGGACUUUUUGGGUGAAAUUCGUGAAUCCUAAAGAGAGGAUUACACCUUGCAAUUCAUUGAAUAGGUGUAAUUCAUUUAUCUUGUUUUCUUGCAACUUGGU